rnacentral:lncRNA from 1 species
AAUGAUCUUAUGCAAGCACGUGUUUGACUAAAUUGGCCCUCCCAAAUCACAGGUGAUUUUCGCUCCUUUUCUGACUAGUCACAACUAGUAUUUCAGCAGAGAAACAAAGCCCAUAUUAGUAAAAUAGUCAUGGUGUGCUGUAUGGUGUGGGAAGGUCGUAAUGAUUGGUAUGGAAUCAGCACAGUUUACAGUGCUAUCUGCAUACUCUGCUCUUAAUCAACGGAUGACUGCCAAAGACAAAACCUUUGAUCACUCUAUGGGUUAUAUUACACAAAAAGAUGGAAAUGAACGUCGGCAAUUAUCAAUGUUGAACAAGAUUAAGAUAAACACAGAUGCGUCAUAUUUGAGGAAUCUAAUUGUUACAGCCAUGCCUUCGUGAUCCAUGAUCAUAGGGAUGAGUUUCUG